rnacentral:lncRNA from 1 species
CUCAGGGCUGAUUUCCUUAAGAAUGGAUAGGUCUGAUUUUCUUGCAGUCCAUGGGACUCUCCAGAGUCUCCUCCAGCACCAUAAUUCAAAAGCAUCCAUUCUUCGGCGAUCAGCCUUCUUUAUGGUCCAGCUCUCACUUCCAUACAUCAUGACUGGGAAAACCAUAGCUUUAACUAUACGGAUCUUUGUCAGCAAGGUGAUGUCUCUGCUUCCCCCCCCCCUUAGGAUGUCCCUAUUUUCAUUGGAGAAAUGUUGGAGGGUAUGGAGUUAUUUGACCCCCGAGCCAUCUGAAGGCAAUCCUGUAUAGGGAAGUUUCUUUAAAAAAAAUAUAUGCUUAAUGUUUUAAUAUGUUUUUAUUUACGUUGGAAGCUGCCCGGAGCUUGCUGGGGCAAUCCAGUAAGAUGGGUGGGGUAUAAAUAGUAAAAUUGUCACUAUGGAAUGUUACGUCCCUAUUUUCAUCGGAGAAAUGUUAGAGGGUAUGUCAUUGCUUAUAGGUUUUGGAGGCCCUCCCUUCCCCUUCUGCAGUGAGUUGGUUUUCCCACUGCAGCAAGUCCAGGGAGAGCUUGCCAGUGGCCUCUUUCUUGGGCUGAGGACCCGAGGCCAAUAUCUGACCAUGCCUGAGCAAGGUGUGUGGAUCAAGCAAGAGGCAGCGCACAGACACCAUUCUUUUUUAUUUAUUCUUUUUUUAAAAUAAUUUAUUAAGGAUUUUCUUGUUUUACAGAAGUAAGUGUAAUGCCUCGUAUUUUUUUUUCCAUGCAACAUUUUUACAAAUCCGUUUCAUUUGUUGAGGCAUUAGGGGGAGAAGAAAAAAAGGAAAAAAGAAAGGGGGGUGGAGAGAGGGAAGAUGGAUGGGGGUGGGGGUCGGGUGGCGAUGUUUCUAUUAUGUUUAAUGUACAUAGAGUUUGGUGUCAGCGUUGCUUGUGUUGUUCACUUGUGUUCCUUUGGUGGUGAGAGAGGUUGGGGUUGGCCUAGGGUGUGAUUGUUUGCUUGUGAUUGGCUGUGGUGAUCUUUGUUUUCGUGUGUGAGUGAGGUGGGUGGGUGUUUUGGAUCAGGUUAGCCAUAUUGAUUUGUAUGCUGUUGGUGGAUUAUUGUCAUUGUCCUGUUGGGCUGUGUAUGUGAUAAAGGGGAGCCAUACCAGGGUGAAGGCGUCUUCUUCUGUUUGUCCCUGUGUCAGUUUCAGUUUAUUAGUUAAUUUUUCUAGUAGGGCUGUUUCCCAUACUAUUUGGUACCAUUGGUCCAUGUUUACUCCUGACAGGUCUCUCCAGUGUCUGGUUAUGGUGUUUCUGGCUGCUGAAAGUAGGUGGGUUAUGAGUUCUUUGUGGUGUAAAUGGGCAUUGUUGUCUUGGAAGAUGUUUAGUAGGGCCAAUUCUGGGGUGAUGUCUAUUACUUGCUUAGUUAUUUUACAUAUUUCUUGUAUGGCUGUUGUUCAGAAUAGUUGGAUUUUGGGACACUCCCACCACAUGUGGAGGUAUGUGCCUGUGGAGGUGCACCCUCUCCAGCAUUUUGGUGAGGUUCCUGGGUGUAUUAGCGCUAGUUUUCUGGGUGUUAGGUACUACCUGUAGGUGAGUUUCAGUGUGAGUUCGUUGAUAUGGAUUUAAAGGGGGGUUUAGACCACAUUCUGGUCCAUUGAGUGGGGUUAAUCUCAUAGCCUAUGUCAUUCUCCCAUUGUUUUUUGAUUGCAUCUAGGGGAUUUGCGAGAUUUUGGAGUAGUAUUUUGUAUAUUGCGGAUACCGUCCCUUUACCAUUUCCCUUUGUUGUUAGGAGGAGGUUUUCGCACAGACACCAUUCUAAGGGCACACUUCCUUGGGAGUAAGUUCUGUUCAAUUCAGAAUAAAGUUUCUUUGGAUUGGAGGUAAAAGGCAAAGGACCCCUGGAUGGUUAAGUCCAGUCAAAGGCAACUAUGGGGUUGCGGCGCUCAUUUCGCUUUCAGGCUGAGGGAGCCGGCGUUUGUCCACAGACAGCUUUCUGGGUCAUGUGGCCAGCAGGUCUAAAUCGCUUCUGGUGCAACGGCAGUGGCGAAGCUCCAUGCUUCGCUACCGGGGGUGGAUGGCAGACGGGGGCAUGGCUGGCCCCCCGGGGGGGGAAGUGGCGCACAUCCAGGGGACGUGGUACGCUGCCUGUGCCGCCCACAGGGGCAUGGCAUGCGUUCUCAGGGCGUGACAUGCCGCCUUGUGCGCAGGGGCGUGCAGCAUAUGUUGGGGGCACCGUGAUGGCACCCUACUGGAAUAGUGGUCCCAGGGGCUGUCCACUCCCUCCACACCCUUGUUCCUCUGCCAGUGCACAGCGGAACACUGUGACGGAAACCAGAGCGCACGGAAAUGCCGUUUACCUUCCCGCCACAGUGGUGCCUAUUUAUCUACUUGCACUGGUGAGCUUUCGAACUGCUAGGUUGGCAGAAGCUGGGACAGAGCAAUGGGAGCUCACUCCAUCGCGGGGAUUCGAACAGCCUACCUUCCAAUUGGCAAACCCAAGAGGCUCAGUGGUUUAGACCACAGUGCCACCCACGCUUCUUUGUGUCUUUGUGUCAGUGGCAUAGCGUGGGUUGCCAGCCGCUGACAGCAUCGGAGUGUGCCCCCAACAGAACCAAGUGGGGCCGUGCUGUGCCAUCUGCCUGCCCAUGCUGGGAGGGGAGUCCAGGAGGCCAAUGCAGUCCCUGGCAGGCAUAUACUCCCAGCAUCCAUGGAAAGGAGCACCAGGCCAGGCUAUGCUGGGGUUGCCCCUCACCUGCAUUCCUCCAUCCAUGCCCGCUCACUGUGGGCCUGAACUGCUCUGGCACCUUUGCCAGGGCAGGGUGGGAGCCCUGUGAAAGCUGGCACCUAUGUGGGGGGCCUGGUUGUGCUCCCUCAGAAUUUUGUACCCUGGGCCAUGGUCCCCCUGCCCCCCACGCUAUGAAAUUGCACUGCAUUAAAUGCCUUGAAUGAACAUAUGCACCCAAGAAAUUCACGUCUCUCCAAAUAGUCCACAAAGGUGACUUACAGACAAACAGAUUAAGGCAACUGACAAUUAUAAUAGGAUCACAGCAUACGGUCCUUGGGGAAAAGUCUUGCUGAAGCCUGAAGCCCCAUUAAGUUUAAGAGAUCCUAGAGCUUUUUGAAAUAUUUGUGUGUGUGUUAUUCUAACAGAAAGGACAACGGAAAUAGAAAUAAUAAGCAAUCUUGCAAAUGGCAAACUAACAAUCUUACUAAAACAUAACAAUGUUGGACUUUCUCCCAUAUUUAGAGCGCCCCUCUUAAUCAGAGGUUUGUUUAGUUUGUGCAUAAAUCUGACAAGGAAGACCGUGAUGAGACAAUAUCCUAUUUGUGUCCCUAGUAAACUUACAACGUGCCUCUUCAUAAGAACGUCCGAGUCAUUUAAUUCCUGGGUCUUGUCUCUUUUAAUUAGACAGGUGUAAAACUCCUCAGCAGAGUGGAGAGCAUCUGGGUCCACAUUUAUGCCCAGACGCCACUAAUAUUUCAGACACCAGUUAGGCUAGGUACCCAAUCGACAGGGAGGAGGUUGGCCCAGCUCUUCAAAUAACACCAUCAAUCUUUCCUUUUCUGUCACGGAAAAGUGAUAAAAUAUAGACCACCGGAGAUUUAUGGCCUGCGGGUCCCUCUGCUUUCUCGAGAAGGCUACCGGGUCCCCUUCAGAUGAUGAGAAACAGAGUUUGGCGUAUGGCGGGUGGUGACAAAUGUUGGUUCCAAGGAUGGAGAGUUGACAAGAAUCAGAGGAGUGUGAAUAUGAUUUCAUUGCAACCUCCUCCAUCCUCCCUCGCACCCGUUAUCUCCCCAUUGCCAAUAAAUUUAUUAAGAGAUCCAUAAUUUACAUGCAAAUGCCUUGGACUCAAUCUGUCAUUGGACAGAGUUCGUUGGCAGUGGAAGGGUGACUGAGGAGGCCCCUUGCGCCCUGCUGACAUCAUUGGACGCAUUCUUCAAGGUGCCUUUGGUAGCUUUAAAUCGGUGGUCUGAAACUCCUGUCUUUUGGGGAGAGCAGGCAGUUUUGCGUUACAUCUUGGGUGGGGAAACUCAAGUCCAGGAGCCUCUGAGUCUCUCUAUAUGGCCCUUGGAACCCUUCCCAGGCCACACCCCUUGGAACUCUCCCCAAGCCACGCCCCUCACCACCCCUUCUUCUCCCCAGGCCACGCCCCUUCUCCCAGGCCACACCCCUCACCGUCCCUUCUUCUCCCAAGCCACACCCUUCUCCCCAAGCCACGCCCCUCACCGUCCCUUCUUCUCCCCAAGCCACGCCCCUUCUCCCAAGCCACGCCCCUCACCGCCCCUUCUUCUCCCAAGCCACGCCCUUCUCCCCAGGCCACACCCCUCACCAUCCCUUCUUCUCCCCAAGCCACGCCCUUCUCCCCAGGCCACACCCCUCACCAUCCCUUCUUCUCCCCAAGCCAUGCCCCUUCUUCCCAAGCCAUGCCCCUCAUCGUCCCUUCUUCUCCCCUGGCCACGCCCCUUCUCCCAGGCCACACCCCUUACUGUCCCUUCUUUCCACCCCCAGUGGCAGACCGUUGACAAGUAGAACGGCGGAAAAUGUCGACGGAGUUCAUGAGUUAUUGAUGCAGUCCGAAUGGUGGUGGAAGAACUGCAUAUUCUGCGUGAAAUCGUUACUGAGGUUACUGAGUUGUCCCACGCCCCAUAGCCUCCCGAUCUGGCCCCAUCGGAUUUCUUUCUUUUUCGAAAACUGAAAUCUGCACUGUAAGGGCGCAGAUUUUCCAACAUUUCAUAUGUCCAAUCUGCUGUGAUGAGGGAACUGAAAGCAGUACGAAAAAAGGACUUCUCCAGAAGUUUCCAACAGUUAUAUGAACGUUCUCAAUGGUGCAUUGUAUCAGAGGCCUGUAAGGCAUGUAUGUUCAAAUACUUCUCGCUGUCCAAUUUCUUUUUUUUAAAAAAAAAAAAAUUAUUGAAAUUUUUUUUUAAAUUACAGAAGACAAAGCAGAGAAAGAAAAAAGAAAAAAGAAAAAGAAAACAAGCCACAUCCAACAAUACAAAUUCAAAAAACAAAAAUACACCACAAACAGAUAAAAAUAAAACCAUCAUUCUCGAAUCUUCAACUUUCAUUACCUUCUUUCUUUGACCUCCUCCUCCUCCCUUUUUUUGUAUCCUAGUUAAUAAUUAUCGCAGCAAAUCCUUUCCAUAUUUCAUAAUAUUCUGUCAUUACAUUACCUUAAUCUAUUUUCAUCUUAUCUUAUAAAAAACCUUAAAACUUAAAACUUAAAUCUUAUUUUUACCCACUUCUCAUAACCAUAAUAUUCGUGCCUAAUUCUUUAAACAUUUUUGCUAGAGCCAAGUAAUUUUGUUCCAACAUUUUUCUGACAGUCAUCAAUUUUAUAAAACAAUCCUAGUGAUAAGAAAAAGAAACAGAAACAAUCCAAUCUUCAUCCAGCGUCCCUUCCUCCUGGUCCCGGGUUUUGUCAGUCCUUUUUAUCCCAUCGAUCUAGCGCAUUAACCUGGUAACCUUAUAUCCGAGGCCCUUAAGUCUCUUCCAUGUCCCUUCCGCAGCUCUUCUUCAUAUUCACCUUUCACUCGUGGGAACUCCAGCUUGGUAAUGUUUUUGUUUUUUUUUUAAAAUAAUUUUUAUUAAAGUUUUAAACAAAGAAAAAAGAAAAAGCAACACACACAAAAAAAUACAAAAUUUAACAAUAGAAACACACAACAUAACAAUUUAAAACAAACUCUCUUUUACAUUCCCAAUUUUGAAUUACUUAUUUUCUGGACUUCCUCAUACCUCCCUCUUUUGUAUUCCAAUCUACUGUAUUUGUCCAGCCGUUUCUUUUCCACUUUUUAAACCCAAUCUUUAAUUUAAUGAAAUAUUAAACUAUAUAGCUUCAGCUUUUUAAACAUAAUCCUUGUUCUUAAUGUCAUAUACCUUUAAAUUUUUCCCUUUUAUUAUCAAAUUUCCAUUUCUUUAAACAUCUUUAAUCUUAAUCUUUAAUCUUAAUCUAUCCUUAGCUUUAACCUGUACAGCUGGAAACCACUUAUUUUCAAUCCAACAUCACUCUAACAUUCCUUAAUUUUGCAGUGUUUCUGAAGAUAGUCUUUGAAUUUCUUCCAAUCUUCCUCCAUCGACUCUUCUCCCUGGUCACGGAUUCUGCCAGUCAUUUCCGCCAAUUCCAUGUAGUCCAUAGCUUGGUAAUGUUUUUGACCCUUUUCAACAAAUCAGCCCCUUUUCCAUAGUCCAGACUAAAUUCCAUGUGGUAUUUAAAAACAUGUUUAGAAUCCCUCCAAAUCGCUGUCCAAUUUCUGUGACCAUUCACCGAAUUUUCCGGUCACACCUUGUAUUUUAACACUUACUGGGUCCAGGGGUUAAAAGUUUUGGUGUCCACAAACGCAUAACAAUACAUUGCAAAGCCACCUGAGCAACUCCCUCAAAUGUCUUGAUUUAGUCGGGACAUCUCGAAUUUAUAGAAGCUGCCCCGGCUCCCAAUCUCAAUCUGGGAUGCCCCGAUUUUCCUGGAGGCUGCUUCAGGCGGCCUGGGGCAACCUUCCAGGGGCCGCUCUAUUCCACACAGCAUCUCCUAACAGUAGCAAGGCUUGCAACCUUGCAGAGGCUGCUCUAGACUGCACAACGUCUUCCGACGCAGCGAGGCCCAGGACCACCUUCCAGAGGCCACUUUAGCCCAGGCUGCAUCUGGAAAUACAGCGUCUCGUGAGUAGGAGGCAGAAAACAUCAAAACGGAGAGAGGGAAGGGAAGGAGGGGGCAAGCAGGUGGGUGAGGAAGGAGUAAGCAGCAGGGAGGGGGCAGGUGAUGGAGAUGGAGGGUGCUGUGAGGGUUGCUCCAAAUUUUUCUCACCAAAUGUUGAAGGGUAUGGCCAUGGGCCUAUCAACAGACACCCUCCUCCCUCCAGAAGGUUCUGGAAGUCAGCUUGGAAGAGGGGUUUGGAGGAGACUGGAUGGUUGUUUCAGCAGUUUUCAACAGCUGCGGAUUUCUCCAGGUUUCAGGUAUUGCUGUGGGAUGCAACAGAGGAUGCCUGCAAGGAACUUUGAGAUUUAUUCUGGUCAGAACACGUUCUUGGAACCUUGAAAUCUCUUGAAUGGUUCGACCUUCAAGUUGUUUUUCUUCUUUCCUUCUUUCCUUCCUUGGGUAGACUGGCACAACCAUGGAUAUUGCUGUUGUUGUUUAGACGUUUAGUCAUGUCCAACUCUUCGUGACCCCUUGCACCAGAGCACGCCAGGCACUCCUGUCUUCCACUGCCUCCCGCAGUUUGGUCAAACUCAUGCUGGUAGCUUCAAGAACACUGUCCCACCAUCUCGUCCUCUGUCGUCCCCUGCUCCUUGUGCCCUCCAUCUUUCCCAACAUCAGGGUCUUUUCCAGGGAGUCUUCUCUUCUCAUGAGGUGGCCAAAGUAUUGGAGUCUCAGCUUCAGUAUCUGUCCUUCCAGUGAGCACUCAGGGCUGAUUUCCUGCAGAAUGGAGAGGUUUGAUCUUCUUGCAGUCCAUGGGACUCUCAAGAGUCUCCUCCAGCACCAUAAUUCAAAAGCAUCAAUUCUUCAGCGAUCAGCCUUUUUUAUGGUCCAGCUCUCACUUCCAUACAUCACUACUGGGAAAACCAGAGCUUUAACUAUAUGGACCUUUGUUGGCAAGGUGAUGUCUCUGCAUUUUAGGAUGCUGUCUAGGUUUG